rnacentral:lncRNA from 1 species
GGGAGUUAUGGGUGGUUACUUCUUAUUCCCAUGGGAAUGUAAGAUUCCCACCAUUUAACAUGGGAAUAAAAAGUGGGAAAGUCAUGUGUAAUUUAUAUUCCAAGGAAUAAAAAGUUCCUGGGCAUAAUUUUUUAAAACUUGAAACAAACAUAGGAAUUAAAGAUUCCCAAAGUCACAUUCAUGGGAAUAAAUUUAUAAUCCAUGAAAC